GUGCCAGCCGCCGCGGUAAUACCGGCAGCCCAAGUGAUGGCCCAUAUUAUUGGGCCUAAAGCGUCCGUAGCUGGCCGACCAAGUCUCCCGGGAAAUCCACCCGCCCAACGGGUGGGCGUCCGGUAGAAACUGGCCGGCUUGGAACCGGAAGGCUCAGAGAGCACGUCCGGGGUAGGAGUGAAAUCCCGUAAUCCCGGACGGACCGCCGGUGGCGAAAGCGCCUCGGGAAGACGGACCCGACAGUGAGGGACGAAAGCUGGGAUCUCGAACCGGAUUAGAUACCCGAGUAGUCC
rnacentral:rRNA from 1 species